AACUGACGCUGAGGAGCGAAAGCAUGGGGAGCGAACAGGAUUAGAUACCCUGGUAGUCCAUGCCGUAAACGUUGGGCACUAGGUGUGGGGGACAUUCCACGUUUUCCGCGCCGUAGCUAACGCAUUAAGUGCCCCGCCUGGGGAGUACGGCCGCAAGGCUAAAACUCAAAGGAAUUGACGGGGGCCCGCACAAGCGGCGGAGCAUGCGGAUUAAUUCGAUGCAACGCGAAGAACCUUACCAAGGCUUGACAUGGGCCGGACCGGGCUGGAAACAGUCCUUCCCCUUUGGGGCCGGUUCACAGGUGGUGCAUGGUUGUCGUCAGCUCGUGUCGUGAGAUGUUGGGUUAAGUCCCGCAACGAGCGCAACCCUCGUUCCAUGUUGCCAGCGCGUAAUGGCGGGGACUCAUGGGAGACUGCCGGGGUCAACUCGGAGGAAGGUGGGGACGACGUCAAAUCAUCAUGCCCCUUAUGUCUUGGGCUUCACGCAUGCUACAAUGGCCGGUACAAAGGGUUGCGAUACUGUGAGGUGGAGCUAAUCCCAAAAAGCCGGUCUCAGUUCGGAUUGGGGUCUGCAACUCGACCCCAUGAAGUCGGAGUCGCUAGUAAUCGCAGAUCAGCAACGCUGCGGUGAAUACGUUCCCGGGCCUUGUACACACCGCCCGUCAAGUCACGAAAGUUGGUAACACCCGAAGCCGGUGGCCUAACCCCUUGUGGGAGGGAGCUGUCGAAGGUGGGACUGGCGAUUGGGACUAAGUCGUAACAAGGUAGCCGUA
rnacentral:rRNA from 1 species